GGGCCAGGAACCUGGGAGCGGCUUAGCCGGGUGGUUCCGGCUCGGGGUGUCUCACGAGGCUACAGUCAGCCGGAGCAGCAGAAGAACGUGACACUGGCCAUGGCCGUGUUCACCAUCCUCGCCUCCAUCUACUUCUUCAACAAGGCACAGAAAUGAGGACACACAGGACAGCCUCCUCCAGGAGCUCUGCCUCUGCCCCAGCCAUGACUCUGGCGUCUGAGACCAAAUAAAUGUGAUCACAUCGGCAAA